GAUGAAGAACGCAGCGAAAUGCGAUAAGUAAUGUGAAUUGCAGAAUUCAGUGAAUCAUCGAAUCUUUGAACGCACAUUGCGCCCGCCAGUAUUCUGGCGGGCAUGCCUGUUCGAGCGUCAUUUCAACCAUCAAGCCCUGCUUGCGUUGGGGUCCUGCGGCUGCCCGCAGGCCCUGAAAACCAGUGGCGGGCUCGCUAGUCACACCGAGCGCAGUAAUACAUCUCGCUUUGGGCGUGCGGCGGGUUCUUGCCGUUAAACACCCCCUUUUUACCAAGGUUGACCUCGGAUCAGGUAGGAAGACCCGCUGAACUUAAGCAUAUCAAUAAGCGGAGGA
rnacentral:misc_RNA from 1 species